AAAAAUUAUCCAAAUCCGCUUUACUCCCAGUUUGACUGCUUUGCCCUUAAAUUUGAAAUUCAUGUUGAAUUCACGACACAUCUCAUUUUAACCCUGUACGUUUUAUUCUGACGGAGCUCUGUGAUACACUCAUAAAUACCGCAUAUUAUUCUGGCUCAGAAAAAUGUCCACCUGUUUUGGUGAUAAUCUGUUAGGUAAAAUAAGGUUUUGG